rnacentral:lncRNA from 1 species
GAUUACUUGUUUGGAGUGGCACUCAAAACCAGAAAAGUGGCAAAAUGAUUCUCAAGCUCCCUCCAUCCCACCUCACUCCACAAAAUGGACUUGGGUUGUUCCAUGGUUUUAAUUUCAUGUUCAUCAGAGCUAGUGAUAGAAGCAUUCCAUGGUUCUGUGGGAAUCUCUAAACGCCCGCUCAAUUUUUAUCAACUCCCCGUUAGCCGGAUUGUUCCCCUGGGCAGGGAGGAGAGCAGCAGAUUGUCUUAAAUCAAAGGAAGGUUAGACUUCAAGAUGAAAACGAGAGAGGAGGGGUGGGGAGCAGUCUGUCUAUACAUUCAGGUGCAUUGUUCAUGUGGCAUGACACGAUGCCCAGAGAAAAUCCAAGCAUUUGUCAUUUGUCAGCGUUGCAGCCUGGAACAGACUUGAUGAUAUAAGUCUCUGACCUCAUUCAGGCUACAGAAACCUCUGUAGUCCCAAGGCAGGCUGCGUCUGACAGGGAUGGGAGAAGGGCACAGCAGAAAACAGAUAACCUCUGGUCUCUGAGAAGUGCUCACUAGCCCUGCUCCCCAGCACCGCUCUUAAUGCACCUUCACACUCCUCAGCUAUCGAGCUAAUUAUGCUGUGUAUUUGUGUCUACAAUAAAUCAAAUCAAAUCCUGCCUGCUACAACAGCUCCAUUUAGUAAGAGCUUAAUAUUAGCCUAUGUGAGAAGAAUACAUAAUCCCAAGAAGUGGCCAGCCCAAAAUUGGGGUGAAAUAAAAAAUAAAUGUGAAAAAAAGGUUUAAAAAGUCAAUGUGAAGUCUUUGGUAGUUCGAUACAAAAAGGUAAGUGAUGCUGAGGCUUCUCAGGGCAAGAUGGGUUAUUUAAUGUGCAGAGUAGGAGCAUUCAUUGAGAAGGGACGUGAUCUUCAUAGCUGAAAUGGAACAGACCCACAAGCUGGGCGUGGGAAACUAAUGCGGACAAGGGAUACUCUGGAGAAGGCUGAAGGACCCCUGAGUGAAACAGCAUUUAAGAGAGGAGAUGGUAUGAGGAGGCUUUUCCUCCAAGGAUGCCCCUUCCAACUCUUGCCUUCUGGUUUUGAAGUUAAAAUAGCAUUGAAAAUUCACUUGGGGAAGUAUUGUGUUUGAGGGACUUUGAGGGAGUUGGGGCUGCCUUAGAGCGCCAUUUUAUUACAGCUUAUAACAUCAAUAUUUGAAAAACCUUCUACUGUAUUUAUUCUCCUUUAAAACGCACAGCGUCUUCCCUCCCCCACUCCCAAGUGGUUUGGUAAUAGUUGCUUGCAAUAUCCAAAAGAUGCAGCUAUAAUCAGUGAAAUUGCUGGAACUCUUGGCUUUGCUGAUUCAGCAGAUAUGUUAAGACCGAUAAAAAUAUAAUGAUCUUCUGUAAAUAGUCAGGGCUGGCAGUUCUAAAAGAAAUAAAAGUAUAAUCAUUAAUCACUUUCAUACGCAUUACUUGGAGGGGGUUGGAAAGGAACUGAUAAAUUACCACAGGCAAAAUGCUAUGUGGAGAAACUAGACGAAAUACCUAUUAUAUUUGAAGGAAAUGUUUGCUUUACCAACGUCCCGGGGACCUUCCCUAAUAAGAACAAGAUACCACACGAGGUGACCCCGAGGGCUUCACUGCCGAGACACUGACGAUUUAUUAUAUUUGUGACGAACAUAAGGAUAUAUUUGCUAAGGAUAUGAUCUCCUUGGCAUCUAAAGUUAGGUCCACCAAAUCAAGAGUUUGUCUACUUUAGUAGCUUUAACCAGCUCUGUAAAAAACAUCAAAAUCUUGAUUUUUUUAAAAAAUGUUGGUAACUUUAUGGAAGAUUUUUCUCUGUCCUUGGAAUAUGUGGCCCCAAAAAAGAGGAUCAAUUUACAUAUGUGAGCCCCCGUUUCACCAAAUGCUAAUGGUAAAAUCUUCAGCAUUUCCUCAUGGUGAAAAUCAUUUCUAAUCACCUUACUAAAGGCAUAUCAAUGAAGAAAAAUUAAAUUGCCAAUCUGAUGAAUUUGAAUACCUGAGCAGAGGACUCAAUUCUACUUUUACAUGUAAGUAGAGAAAUCCCAUGUUGUGGAGCUUUUUCAUGAGAGGAAGAGAUUCUGUUUUCUAUCCUCACCCAAGCCACACAGGCAGCUCCCCAUGAGACCAUCGCUCCGUCACCAGCAACCUUGAUUUUAAAAGCAGAGCUAACUGCGCUUAGAGGUGUAUAGCACAGAGGCUGUGCCAGCUGUGGUGUCAGAGCUGUCACAGCCUGAAAAUAUUAUACUUCGUGAUAGCCUUAAUCUUUGGGUUGUAAAUUAGAGGAGAGUAUUUUAGUGUGUGCAUGAAUCACUCACCAAAUUAAAAAAAAAAGUCCACUAGAGGUUUUGGCAACAACAUCAAGAAAAUGUAACUUAGCCAAACAUCAGACUAAGCUGUAGACAACCAUGUUAAUUUGAAUCUUAAUGUGCUAUAUUAAUUAUGCAAGAAGAAUGUUAACAAGCAUAAUAAAGAUCAUCUGAUUUAAGGGUUUUGCACAAUUCAAAUUAGCUCCAUCUCCAUUUUUCUGAUAAACAAUACUAAAGUCAUGAAAAUGAAAUUUUAAAUAGAGUGUCUGAUGAAUUCCAGCAUUAAGAGGUGCUACCCCAACAUGGAUGAUCCUCUUCACCUCUGACCAUGUGAGGGAUCUAGUGGGCAUGGGUCCGGACCCAGCCUGGCGACCGCAGACACCUGGUCUCGCGCUUGAGCAGAUUGCACGCUGAAGCCGCAAAUGACCAAUCACAGCCAGCAGUGGGAUUGGGGGAUUCUGUCAUACCCUUGAGGAAAAUGGUUUUCUUCACUUCAUUAGGAAAAAAAAAAAAGAGUC